ensembl:lncRNA
UUUACAAUCUACUUCAGUGUUUAUAUACUAAAACUUGUCUUUCUGCCUUAGCUUUCUCAGUAGUUGGUCCUUGCUAAACUGGCUCUUUAAUUUUGAGGCAAUGUUUGCACUGUCUUGAAGAAGAGCCACGUUCACAGCCGAAUGGGUCUUCUGCAAGUGAAUGAAUUCAAUGAAUUAUUUACUGAAACUCUUGGGAUGUAACUGCUGUCCUGUCAAUAACUUUAGCUUUUGAAUGAAUUAUGGGGUCUAGGAAACUGGCCCCAAGGAAUUUCUUAGGGGAGCAGGAAAGGAAUAUAUUUUACACCAGCCUUGAGGUAUCUAUUUUAAAGGAACUCUCACACAUGUGCACGAGAGACAUUUUUAAGAAACUUAAUCACAGCAUUGUUCAUCGCCGUGAAAAAAUGUGACUAACAUAAUAGCCCUCAGUAGAGGGAUGAAUAAAGAAACCCUGGUUUAGUCAUACAAUGCAACCCUAUUUGUCAGCUGAAAAAAUGCCUUGGAGCUUAUGAACUGCAGAAGAUGAGGCAAGUUUGAACAUGUUUAAAUGCUGCUGGGAAGGAUGCAAUACGGAGCCAGAGGCUGAAGAUAUAGGAAAAACAAGACAACCAGUGGAUGAACUCCCCCUACAAUUUUUGAAGCUGCUGUGUUCUUCUUUCCAGAGAUUUCUCUUAUCGCCAGUUUCUUGCAUGUCUCUAGAGGUAUCUACAGAAUUCAGGUACAGAGAGGGAGACACCUUUACAGAUGGAGAUUUCCUUUACAAAUGUAAAUGUCUCUUAAAAAGGUCAUUUCCAAUUCUUCAAAUUGCACUCCACACAGCCUUCCAAAUCUUGGUACAAAAAUCCUUCAGGGCAAACCCAUCUCUAAUGUUUACACAUACUUAUAAAUAUAAGAAUCCAGUGCCAACAACAUUUUUCACAGAAGUAGAACAAAGAAUCCUAAAAUUUAUUUGAAGCAACAAAAGACCUCUAAUAGCCAAAGGAAUCCUGAGGAAAAAGAACAAAGCUGGAGGUAUCACACUCCCUGAUUUCAAAUAAUACUACAAAGCUAUAGUAACUAAAAUUGCAUGGUGCUGGUACAAAAACAGACACACAGAUCAAUGGAACAGAACUGAGAGCCCAGAAAUAAACCCACACAUUUAUGGACAGCUAAUCUUUGACAAGGGACCCAGGAGCAUACAAUGGAGAAAGGAGAGUCUCUUCAAUAAGUGGUGUUGGGAAAACUGGACAGCCACAUGAAAAGAACAAAAGUAAACCAUUAUCUUACACCAUGCACAAAAAUCAACUCAAAAUGUAUUAAAGACUUGAAUGUAACACCCGAAACCAUGAAACUUCUAGAAGAAAACAUAGGCAGCACGUUCUUUGACAUCAGUCUUAGCAGCAUUUUCUCAAAUACCAUGUCUGACUGGGCAACGGAAACAAAAGAAACAAUGAACAAAUGGGACUACAUCAAACUAAAAAGCUUCUGCACAGCAAAGGAAACCAUCAACAAAACGACAACCUAACUAUUGGGAGAAGCUAUUUGCAAACCUCAUAUCAGAUAAGGGGUUAAUAUCCAAAAUACACAAAGAACUCAUACGGCUCAACAACAGAAAAACCAACAACUCAAUUGAAAAAUGGGCAAAAGAUCUGAACAGAGAUUUCUCCAAAGAAGAUAAUACCGACAGCCAACAGGUACAUGAAAACAUGUUCAACAUCAUUAACUAUCAGGGAAAUGCAAAUCAAAACUACAAUGAGAUACCAUCUCACUCCAGUCUGAAUGGCUAUAAUUAACAAGACAGGAAACAAGUGUUGGAGAGGAUGUGGAGAGAAGGGAACCCUCGGACAUUGCUGAUGGGAGUGCAAACUGGUGCAGCCAUUAUGGAAAACAGUAUGGAGUAUCCUCAGAAAAUUAAGAAUAGACCUACCAUAUGAUCUAGACUUUCCACUGCUGGGUGUUUAUCCAAAGAACUUGAAGAUACAAAUGAAUAAAGAUACACGCACCCCUGUGUUCAUCACAGGAUUAUUCACAAUCACUAAGGCUUUGAAGCAACCUUGGUGCCCAUCAAGGGAUGAAUGGAUAAAGAAGGUGUGGUAUAUAUACACGAUGGAAUACAGCUUAGCCAUAAGAAAUAGAAAUCUGGCCAUUUGUGACAACAUGGAUGGACCUUGAGGGAAUUAUGCUGAGUGAAAUAAGUCAGAGGGAAAAAGUCAAAUACCGCAUGAUCUCACUCAUAAGUAGAAGAUAAAAACAACGACAAACAAACACAUAGCAACACAGACCGGAUUGAUGGUUACCAGAGGGGAAGAUGGGAGGGAGGAGGGCAAAAGGGGUGAUUAGGCUCACAUGUGUGGUGAUGGAUUCUAAUUAGUCUUUGGGUGGUGAACAUGAUGUAAUCUACACUGAGUUUGAAAUAUACUAUAAUGUACAUCUGAAAGUUAUAUAAUGUUAUAAUCCAAUGUUACUGCUAUAAAAAUUAAAAUUAAAAAAAAGGAAAGACGAAGAAAAAAACUAAAGAUUUUUAAGCAAGUUGUUAGUGAUUUGGUGUUUGAUGCAAAGCCCUAAUCCUCUUUCUCCCUGAAAAUCUUUAAUAAAAUUUAUAUUACUUAUUACUGCUAAAAAAAUAAAAAAGAAUCCACACAUCUCUCCAUCUUUUCUUAAGCUCUUUUGAAUGAAGUGCAACGUUCUUCUAUAGACAUAGACUUUUGGGGCAUUGAGUUCCCAUAUAUUUAUAGUACUGGAAUCCUAUAAACUCCUAGGUCAUCUCUGUUACUCAUCUAUUUGUGAGGCUUGAUAUACCAAUAUAAUACCCAGGGGCAUGUUCCAAUCAUGACUCAGAAGGCAACAGCCCAUGGAUGUGUGUAUUUUCAGGUUUCAGUGUUUUAAGCAUGUAACAUACUAAAUAUAAAUGUUACAUACCUAAAAUAAAUAUUUGCCCAAGCCCCAGCAUUUCUAGUCAGCCUGUGCCAGAUAAUAACAAACCAGAGAUUUCAGUGAUAAAGGUGGCUAAAUUAUUCUACAAAAUAAAAGAGACAUCAAAGGGAAAGAUUUUGAAAUGGCAAGGAUGCUAGUGGAACAGUGUUUUUAACUAAUUUGAUAAUAUACCCCACAGCCUCCAUGCAUUUCUCUCUCCAAAGGAUAACUUUUGUGCAGGCGAAGCAGAGCAAGGCUCUGAACCAGCUCAAACGUUUAUGCUUCAUACCCAGUGUUGUGCUGAGCCUGCACCUAUUGACUCAAGAAAUCCAGCUGUGUGCAACUAUUUCCAGGCUUGACUUCAGUGACAUGAUGUCAGCAACAACAUUAAGGUUGAAAUUGGC